GUAGGGAGCUAGCGUUACUCGGAUUUACUGGGCGUAAAGCGAGUGUAGGCGGUCAGGUAAGUCAGGGGUGAAAUCCCUCAGCCUAACUGAGGAAUUGCCUUUGAUACUGCUUGACUUGAGGACAGGAGAGGAAAGUGGAAUUCCCGGUGUAGCGGUGGAAUGCGUAGAUAUCGGGAGAAACACCAGAGGCGAAGGCGGCUUUCUGGACUGUUCCUGACGCUGAGACUCGAAAGCUAGGGGAGCAAACAGGGAUUAGAUACCCUGGUAGUCCUAGCUGUAAACGAUGGAUACUAGAUUUUGCCCAGAUUGGGCUUGGUCGAAGCUAACGCGUUAAGUAUCCCGGCCUGGGGGUAGUACGGUCGCAAGGCUG
rnacentral:rRNA from 1 species